UACAGAGAGUGCAAACGUUGUUCGGAAUUACUGGGCUUGAAGCGCACGUAGGCGGCGUUGUAAGUGUCGGGUGAAAUCCCACGGCUCACCCGUGGAACUGCCCGGCAUACUGCGAUGCUAGAGUGUGGUAGGGGAGAGCGGAACUCCUGGUGGAGCGGUGAAAUGCGUAGAUAUCAGGAGGAACACCAAUAGCGAAGGCAGCUCGCUGGGACGGUACUGACGCUAAGGCGCGAAAGCGUGGGGAGCGAACAGG
rnacentral:rRNA from 1 species